rnacentral:rRNA from 1 species
AGUGGAUGGGGAGCAACCUAGUUGUGCGUGUGUAAAGGUAGUGCCAAGAAAAGCGGUGAUCAUGAUGAAAGUCAAUUCCCGGUACCCGAAACCGACACAGGUGGGCAAGUAGAGAAUACUAAGGGGCGCGAGGUAACUCUCUCCAAGGAACUCGGCAAAAUGACCCCGUAACUUAGGGAGAAGGGGUGCCACCGAGAGGUGGUCGCAGUGAAGAGGCCCAGGCGACUGUUUAGCAAAAACAUAGGUCUCUGCAAACUCGAAAGAGGAGGUAUAGGGGCUGACGCCUGCCCAGUGCCGGAAGGUUAAAGAAGUUGGUCAGUCUUAGGAUGAAGCUAGCGACUGAAGCCCCGGUGAACGGCGGCCGUAACUAUAACGGUCCUAAGGUAGCAAAAUUCCUUGUCGGGUAAGUUCCGACCCGCACGAAAGGCGUAACGAUCUGGGCGCUGUCUCGGAGAGAGGCUCGGCGAAAUAGGAUUGUCUGUGAAGAUACGGACUACCUGCAUUUGGACAGAAAGACCCUAUGAAGCUUUACUGUAGCUUGGAAUUGGGUUCGGGCUUCCCUUGCGCAGGAUAGGUGGGAGGCGUAGAAGAUAUUCUUGUGGGGAUACUGGAGCCAACGGUGAGAUACCACUCUCAGGAGGCUAGAAUUCUAACUUAAUUAAGGACAGUUUCAGGUGGGUAGUUUGACUGGGGCGGUCGCCUCCAAAAAGGUAACGGAGGCGUACAAAGGUUCCCUCAGACUGGUUGGAAAUCAGUCGAAGAGUGCAAAGGCAGAAGGGAGCUUGACUGCGAGAAGUACAGUUCGAGCAGGGUGGAAACACGGUCUUAGUGAUCCGACGGUGCUGUGUGGAAGGGCCGUCGCUCAACGGAUAAAAGUUACUCUAGGAUAACAGGCUGAUCUCCCCCAAGAGUUCACAUCGACGGGGAGGUUUGGCACCUCGAUGUCGGCUCAUCGCAACCUGGGGCGGAAGUACGUCCCAAGGGUUGGGCUGUUCGCCCAUUAAAGCGGUACGUGAGCUGGGUUCAGAACGUCGUGAGACAGUUCGGUCCAUAUCCGAUGUAGGCGUGAGAAUAUUGAGAGGAGCCUUCCUUAGUACGAGAGGACCGGGAAGGACGCACCGCUGGUGUACCUGUUAUGAUGCCAAUUGUAAACGCAGGGUAGCCAAGUGCGGAGAGGAUAACCGCUGAAAGCAUCUAAGUGGGAAGCCCACCUCAAGAUGAGUAUUCUGGUGUAAGGUCACGGGAAGACGACCCGUAAAUAGGCACGAGGUGGAAGUGCAGAGAUGUAUGAAGCCGAAGUGUACUAAUAGACCGUCGGCUUGACC